rnacentral:tRNA from 1 species
GAGGUUAUAGCUCAGUGGUAGAGUGCAUGCUUAGCAUGCAUGAGGUCCUGGAUUCCGUCCUCGGUACCCCUA